GAUGAACGCUGGCGGCGUGCCUAAUACAUGCAAGUCGAGCGGACGGACGAGAAGCUUGCUUCUCUGAUGUUAGCGGCGGACGGGUGAGUAACACGUGGAUAACCUACCUAUAAGACUGGGAUAACUUCGGGAAACCGGAGCUAAUACCGGAUAAUAUUUUGAACCGCAUGGUUCAAAAGUGAAAGACGGUCUUGCUGUCACUUAUAGAUGGAUCCGCGCUGCAUUAGCUAGUUGGUAAGGUAACGGCUUACCAAGGCAACGAUGCAUAGCCGACCUGAGAGGGUGAUCGGCCACACUGGAACUGAGACACGGUCCAGACUCCUACGGGAGGCAGCAGUAGGGAAUCUUCCGCAAUGGGCGAAAGCCUGACGGAGCAACGCCGCGUGAGUGAUGAAGGUCUUCGGAUCGUAAAACUCUGUUAUUAGGGAAGAACAUAUGUGUAAGUAACUGUGCACAUCUUGACGGUACCUAAUCAGAAAGCCACGGCUAACUACGUG
rnacentral:rRNA from 1 species